ACAAUACAACCGUUCGUACACGGUGAAAUUGUCGGCAGGUAUAUUUUGUUUUCCGAGAGUAAUAAUUAUGCAAAUCGUCCGUGUAAUAAAAUUACAAUAAUAACAAUGAUCGUGCGCGCCGAGCGUUUUCGCCACCGGAACAGUUUCUUCACACACACACACACACACACACGCCAAAUUUGCAUAUAAUAAAACAAAGUCCGCACUGUUAUUACG